UCACUCCUUUACGUCCUGUCCCGAGUAUCCGAUGUGGCUGCAUCGGGAACCUCGCGAAAACUCUUGAGCUAGGAUCCCUACAAUCUAGCAAAAAAGGGCGAAAAAAAAGUGGUAUACCUACAACGCAAUAGAUCUUAUGUAUACAAGAAGCGAACACAAACUCAAAAGGAAUCGAACCCCCGUCGUCUCAUUCGUCGGUGUUCGGGGGGGAUAGGCACGUGAUUUACCCGAAGAUGAUGUAGUACCAUCUGUUGUUAUCGUCGCCCCACCAGGACCAGGUGAUCAACCACCUCACCCUCGCCUACUUUGUCAUCUCCGGUCUCCACCUCCUCUCCGCCCUCGGUAGCGUACACCCCCCCCCCCCUCUCUCUCUCUCUCUCUCACAUUUUGCUUUCGCGGGUGAAAAGAAACAGGGUUUAGUUUACUUCCAUAUAUUCAUUGUUUUUGGGUUUGAGCAUUGCUUUUGCGUUUUUGCUUUGGAAAAUUGGAUUAUUGUUGCUCCAUCUUACGUCUGCUUCUGAAUUUUUAAGAUAUUUCGGAUUUUUUUUUUUUAACCAUGGUUGAGUGUCCUGAUUUCAAUGUUCGGUUUUGAUCCUAGCUACUGACUUUAGAAUAAAUCAUUCGAAUGUGCUGGGUCCCCCCGCGGGAGGGUGGGUUGUUCAUACUUGCAGCCAAGAAUCAUAAUCUGAUGUUUCCUUCUCCCGAGGUCAUAGUGUGGACAGUGAGUGAUGUUCGUAUAAUGAUAGGCACUUGAUUAUGUUCACAACCACAUGGUUGAACCAAACAACUUUUAGAAAACAAAUCUAAUUACAUGUUAUUUUAUAGGCAUUUUAGGUUGGCAAAUGGCAAGGAUGCAAUUGCCGGGUUUUAUCCAUGCAAGGAUGCAUGCGCUCGCUUACUAAUAUUAAGCGCACAUAAUAUCUAUAUUUUCUGGGAGCCUUCCCUUUUAAGCAUUACUCUUUAGGCGUUCCAUGGUUCAAGAACUUCUCAAUUUCCUCCAGACAAUAAUGGGGUUUUGAGUCACAACGACAGUCACAUGGCAAGCACAUAGAGUGCCCGCCAUACUAAAGAUUGUUGGCUACAACUUCUCAAGUAUCGACUUUGAGACAAUGUUGACAUCAAUGAGAAACCUCCAACAGCCAGAUGGGAGUAAGCUUUACAACUCCUAUUGUGGAUUCACUUCAUUCAGCCUCUUGGGAGAAUCCAGUAUGAAUUCGCUCUGGGUUCAGCUAGGAAUAACAGAUCUGGCUGCAGGGCUCUUAACUUUGAAACUCUUUUUCAUUUUAUUGGCUCUGUAACAUUCAUAUAUAUGGAAUUUGAUCAAAAAAAGGAAUUGGUUGCACUCUCCUGCCAAAUUGGGCAAGCAGCGUUGGUUAUUGAAUUCAAAUUCAAAUUAUCUAACUAACUCUUUACUUCAUUUAAUAUAGGUUUCCCAUGAAAUAUAAUCA